UACGUAGGUGGCAAGCGUUGUCCGGAAUUAUUGGGCGUAAAGCGCGCGCAGGCGGUCCUUUAAGUCUGAUGUGAAAGCCCACGGCUCAACCGUGGAGGGUCAUUGGAAACUGGGGGGACUUGAGUACAGAAGAGAAGAGUGGAAUUCCACGUGUAGCGGUGAAAUGCGUAGAGAUUUGGAGGAACACCAGUGGCGAAGGCGACUUUCUGUCUGUAACUGACACUGAGGCGCGAAAGCGUGGGGAGCGAACAGG
rnacentral:rRNA from 1 species